CCUACGGGAGGCAGCAGUGAGGAAUAUUGGUCAAUGGGCGCAAGCCUGAACCAGCCAAGUCGCGUGAGGGAUGACGGUCCUAUGGAUUGUAAACCUCUUUUGUCGGGGAGCAAGGCCCGCCACGUGUGGCGGGAAGGAGAGUACCCGAAGAAAAAGCAUCGGCUAACGCCGUGCCAGCAGCCGCGGUAAUACGGAGGAUGCGAGCGUUAGCCGGAUUUAUUGGGUUUAAAGGGUGCGUAGGCGGAAGGUUAAGUCAGCGGUAAAAUGUCGGUGCUCAACACCGGCCUGCCGUUGAAACUGGUCUUCUUGAGUGAGCGAGAAGUAUGCGGAAUGCGUGGUGUAGCGGUGAAAUGCAUAGAUAUCACGCAGAACUCCGAUUGCGAAGGCAGCAUACCGGCGCUCAACUGACGCUGAGGCACGAAAGCGUGGGGAUCGAACAGGAUUAGAUACCCCAGUAGUC
rnacentral:rRNA from 1 species